UGAUUAGGCUUAUGGUGUUACUAUUGACGCUAAUAAUGAUCUAUAUAUCAUAGUUUGCAAUACUGGAGACAUCUGGUGAUCAAAAGAGGAAGCUCUUGAUAUUUUUUAGUAAUAGAUGAUCUUUUUUACUAAUAGAAGGCAGACCACGACCGCGUUUCCGCUGCAAGCAGUUAUGUAUAUCGUAUGAACCUUUGCCAAACGGCGUUCGUUUAACCCUUUUGUUUCGUCACAACUCCGCAAAGACAGCACUGUGAUAUCUAAGUGAAACGAUCAGAAAGAAUGAUUAUUAUUAACAAGAUUUCCUAGAAAUCUUUACUCAUCACUGAAAUAUUAUGAUAGGGCGAUAGAAGUCUGAAGAAAACUAUAAUAAGUUGUUUUCGUAUUCUUCAUACGACAAACGUUACGAGACAUGCGUGCGCAUAUUUAUUCUGGCACACACGUGGCAACAGUGCUAUACAGGAAGCACGCGCAUUUCAUCUCCGCAGCUGUUUUUACAUCGGUGCACAUAUGUUUACGUUCCCGGCUAAGGACAAGUCGAGAAUAUGUUAUGAAGCGUUAAGUCGCGAGGGAAUGCUAGGAACCAAAAGGGGAGUGCCGUUUAAGUGGAAUGUCUCCUGUAUACAGGACGCGUCGUGGAAAAAAGUGAACGUAGCGAAAUUCGUGAAACUAUGCAAAUAAAUACUUGUCGGUGAUUUGUUGCUCGAUUAGCACGUGAUGAGGCUGAUUAAACAGCUGUAUUGAAUCUUAUUUUUUUUAAGGAACUUCAUAACCUUACUAUUUAAAUUUAAAAAUAGAAUUUUAAAAGUUAAAAGUCAUUUUUGUAGAUAGAAUUCAUGAAUAGGAAAGAAUAGAUUUUUACAAUUUGAACAUAAUAUAUUAACAAUUAUAUAAUCAUAAGCAAUAUUGUUCAUGCGGCAAAAAGAUGCAAACUAGUAAAAUUCAUAUAAAGCGAUAUAUUUAAAUUUCAAAGAUGCGAUGGAGUUCCAUGAUAAGCUAAGGUAUCCAAUCACAGUAUAUCUCUGUAUCUCUAGAUGACGCGGCUUCCAUGAGAACUAGCUAGAUAUUUAAUCAAGUUUUGAUACCGAAUUCUUAAGUUAAAAGAACUUAUAAGAAUAUCAUUUUUAUGUAUAGAAUUAAGAAAAAAAUUAUAUUUAUUUAAAUAUUAAAUCCCGUAGAUUAAAAUUAUAUUUUUGCGCAUAUGUAAGUAAUAAUUAUAUGAAAUAAAUAUAAUCUUUUUUUAGAGAUACAUGAAAUUUCCUUAAAAAAGAUAUCUUCAGAAUGUAAGAAUGGAAUGUAAAUCGCAUUUUUGUGCAUCCUUCUUUUCACUUUCUAUUUUGUAUGUUUGACCAAAUGAAAGUCUGAAAAAGCAGAAGCAGAACGUGCGCGGAAUGCCAAAACAAUCAUCCGGUAUUUGACUGUGGCUUCAUUCAAAUUUAAAAGUGAAAAUGGAGAAGACGACAUAAACUACGUACACGUGAUUCUUUUCAUCACGUGUGAUCUAAUAUGUCAUCUAACAUGCCUAUAUAGAUUUUUAUAUAUUUUUUAUAUAUGAAAAUUAUUAUAUUGACAAUUAUGUAACAACGUUUUUAAUAAAUUAAAUGUGAGAAA